rnacentral:rRNA from 1 species
GACAGAGGAUGCAAGCGUUAUCCGGAAUGAUUGGGCGUAAAGCGUCUGUAGGUGGCUUUUUUAGUCCGCCGUCAAAUCCCAGGGCUCAACCCUGGACAGGCGGUGGAAACUACCAAGCUGGAGUACGGUAGGGGCAGAGGGAAUUUCCAGUGGAGCGGUGAAAUGCGUAGAGAUCGGAAAGAACACCAACGGCGAAAGCACUCUACUGGGCCGACACUGACACUAAGAGACGAAAGCUAGGGGAGCGAAUGGG